rnacentral:rRNA from 1 species
GACGAACGCUGGCGGCGUGCUUAACACAUGCAAGUCGAGCGGUAAGGCCCUUUCGGGGGGUACACGAGCGGCGAACGGGUGAGUAACACGUGGGUGACCUGCCCUCAGCUCUGGGAUAAGCCUGGGAAACCGGGUCUAAUACUGGAUAUGACUCCAUGACGCAUGUUGUGGGGUGGAAAGCCUUGUGCGGCUGAGGAUGGGCCCGCGGCCUAUCAGCUUGUUGGUGGGGNGAUGGCCUACCAAGGCGACGACGGGUAGCCGGCCUGAGAGGGCGACCGGCCACACUGGGACUGAGACACGGCCCAGACUCCUACGGGAGGCAGCAGUGGGGAAUCUUGCGCAAUGGGCGAAAGCCUGACGCAGCGACGCCACGUGAGGGAUGACGGCCUGG